UGAAUGGGCACGACCUUACUUGAACAGGCUCUGUUUUUUAGGCUCGUACCUUUGUGUCCUAAAGUUCGAAGGAGACAGAAUUCCGAGUCUGGUUGAUGAACCACGACUGUGUGAUCUGAGCGUGAUUACUGGUCUGGUGAUACCCAUUCUGGUUCCACUUCGACCGCAGAGGAUCGUUCUCGGCGUGUCUUGUGCGGAUAGGAAGGUCGCGCAGUUGUCAGACAGACUAACUAGCCUUUUUGCUUUCUCCGUUUGGGGGAUUAUUCCUGCCAUUUUUCAAGCUUCAGUAGAAAUUGUCCUGUGGAGCAAAACUUGGGGGAUUAUUCCAUUACAGCCUCUGAGAUUGUAGAAGGGCAAUCAGCUAAGCGCCCUGCAACCUAAACUCUUCAUUCUCCCUUUGUAGUUUGUUUUAUUUUAUCUUAUUGAUUUGUACUAAAAAAAAACUUUUAUUUUCAAAUAAAAAUAUUCUAUGUAUGCAUCUACGUGUUCUGUUCAUGUCAUAAUUUCUUUUCUUUUCUUUUUUUUAAAUUCAGGACACAAUAUUUCCUUAAAGAAAUUGGUCCGUGAGGCUUUGCAGCUUGCAAGAUCUGUUUGUUGCUACUGAACACUCUUGUUUUUGUUUCUUGUGAUAUUUGUUAGUGGCUUCAAACAACUCUUGAAACAAAUUGGUUUAAUCUGCAUUGCAUUAAACAGAGUUAGUUGUCAGCGCUACCAUGUGCUUAUUUCCCUUUUUAAUAAUAUGGGUACGUCUUUAUGUGCAUCCAUGAAACAAAACACAAUGCAUGUGGAGAGAAACGGCUCAAUUUGUCUUAUUUUUAGUUCAUGUUGUUGUUAUUUUAAGAAAGUGCUUGUCGUCAAGCAUGGUCCAUUGAUCUUGGACUUGGAACACAAGAGUUUUGAUAGAAGGAAAGAAACCAUUUCCCAACUGCUGUAACCCUAAGCUCCAUUUAUUAAUUAUAUUGUGUUGUGUCUGAUUCUUUGAUAAUAACGACCCAUCUCCACUUUCUGCAUAUAGCAGGGACUGAAGGGGUAAGAGAAUGUCAUGAAGCAAGUGCCUUUUCCCUUCAACUUUUUCAUCCUCAGUUCCAAGAUAACAGCAGCCAAUUUGUUGCCUAGAUUUGAACCAAGAAAAUGUACAAGACAUAAGUUUGUUUGUAAAAUGAUUCUGCUUUUGUUAGAGGAUAACAGCUAUGUUGCCUGUAAA